CCCGUUCGAGAUUCAGGCGGAAUUCUGCGAGGCGGUUGUUCUCGCGGGGCUGGCGGAUGGUUCCCGUCUGGCUGUUCCAAUCCUCCGGACGGCA
rnacentral:tRNA from 3 species